rnacentral:lncRNA from 1 species
GCUAAGCCACCAAGUACCACAAUCUUGUCCAACAAGCCGCGAGGGAGAAGGAUCACCUCCAUAAGCGUAACAAGAUGUUGAAAAAUCCGUUGAAAGGUAACUUGUCUUCCCUAUCUGGUCUUCGAGUUGAUUGUACUUUGACAAAUACUGAAUUGCUCCUUGUGUUGUUCUUGCAGCAGUUGAGAAGAUAAAAGAAGAUCUCCAAGAUUGAGCCACC